rnacentral:rRNA from 1 species
CUACGGGACGCAGCAGUGGGGAAUAUUGGACAAUGGGGGAAACCCUGAUCCAGCAAUGCCGCGUGUGUGAAGAAGGCCUGCGGGUUGUAAAGCACUUUCGGUUGGGAGGACUGCUUCUAGCACUAAUAUUGUUGGAAGUUGACGUUACCUUCAGAAGAAGCACCGGCGAACUCCGUGCCAGCAGCCGCGGUAAUACGGAGGGGUGCAAGCGUUAAUCGGAAUUACUGGGCGUAAAGCGCGCGUAGGCGGCUAGAUCAGUCGGGUGUGAAAGCCCCGGGCUUAACCUGGGAACUGCAUCCGAUACUGUCUAGCUUGAGUACAGGAGAGGAGAGUGGAAUUCCACAUGUAGCGGUGAAAUGCGUAGAUAUGUGGAGGAACACCAAUGGCGAAGGCAGCUCUCUGGCCUGAUACUGACGCUGAGGUGCGAAAGCGUGGGGAGCAAACAGGAUUAGAUACCCGCGUAGUC